CAGGACCCUGAGAUCAUGACUUGAGCCAAAGGCAGAGGCUUAACCAACUGAGCCACCUGCUUAGGACAAUGCACCCUAGACAGUGCACUUCUAUUUUAUUCUCCCAGAGCUGAGCCUGCAGCCUCCUGCUGUUGGUCACAGUCAUGGCUACACACAACCCGCAGUUCAGAGUGUCCUUUCCUCUCCCGGGUCUUUCUCCCACUUUUCUCCCUGUCUCCAUAUUUUCCUCUAGAUUUCCCUCGAGAUUGAUCGUUGGAGAAGCCCUCCUGGAAUCUGAAAAUCGCAGUCCUGGGUUAAGAUUGCCACCUAGUGGCCAGUUCGAGAACCACAUUGCAGUGCCUUGCGUCUUGACUUCCUUCCAACUAGGUGUGUGCAAAACCGAAGGUGAACUUGCUUCUACCCAACUGAAACAUUGGAAUUGAUCAGACGAGAAUGUUCGUUAUUUACCUCUGGACAAUGUCACACUAGUUGCUGGCCACGUAUCAGCCUGCAUCGGUACCCACAGCCUGCUGGAUCCUGGGACGGCUUACACAGGGAUGGUGGACACCCCAGGCAGCUCUCCGCUGUCUCUCCUCUCUGGGCAUUUCCUCAGCUGAAGAGAAUCAUUGAGAGCCAGGCCCUGCCUCCUUUCCAGGCAGCCCAAAGCCCUGAUUGGCUGCGGGUUUAUAAAGGCCCCAGCUCUUCUUGAAGCUUUUCUCUUUGCCCAACAGCUGCGGCUCCUGAACCAGUGUGUACGUCUGAGCUGGAAGAGCAGCCUCUCGGGAGGGAAGAGUCAGACCGAGGAUGAAGGUCACCAACGCUGCGCGGAGAUCUGGAGCACCGGAGCAGGGUCCUAGACCCGUUCUCCUGACUCGGGCUCGGCAGGAUGAGCUGCGGGAGUUUUCGCCUUCAGAAUCCCCGGAGUACAGACCUAGCCGAGGCAGAAGAUGGAUGUGGAGAGCAGAGUCCGCUCUCCUCAGGCCGGCUGGAUUUGAUGGGACAAUCCAGGACCUUGGGAGCAAACAGCCCACGAGAGGACAGUCACCCCAGCAGUUACCUUUGCAUUUGUAAAAGUAGAGGCAGCGGGACAACGAUGGCAGACCGACUCUCUAGGGCAGCGAGGAGGAGAGAACAGCGGCCAUACGCCACAGAGACUGUCACCUGUUUCAUGUGGAAUGCAUAUGGGCUCCGAAAGCCUGAAAAUCACAUCUGAUUUGAUAUCCGAUAACUGCUAAUGGAACAUAGCCCGGACUUCAGAAAUCUCCAAAAUAAAGGCACAGCUUAAGAGUCUGCUCUCUCA